AAGAAAGGUAAAGAUGAUGACAAAGAGAAUUCUGAAGGAAAAGAUGAAAACCAAAACAACGAAAAGCCACCCCAGAAAAAGUCCCGCACCUGCACCAUCUUGUGAUGACGAGCGGACAAGAACUAGGAGGAUGACACCACUCUCUCUCCCUUUGUUGUCUCUGCCGCUGCCAUCAUUGCUGUCUCUGGCAUAGAAGAGCCCGGCCACUCCCACCUCUCACGUACCGCAUAUGAUUCGAUGUCAGGCACAAAUCGACCAACGCCAAAGUUGGUGAAACGUGAUUUUUGACUAUGUUGCAAAGUAAGG